rnacentral:rRNA from 1 species
UGCGGAGGGUGCAAACGUUGCUCGGAAUUAUUGGGCGUAAAGCGCACGUAGGCGGCCGAAUAAGUCGGGUGUGAAAGCCCUGGGCUCAACCCAGGAAGUGCACUCGAAACUGCUCGGCUUGAGUAUGGAAGAGGAUCGCGGAAUUCCCGGUGUAGAGGUGAAAUUCGUAGAUAUCGGGAGGAACACCAGUGGCGAAGGCGGCGAUCUGGGAAGAUACUGACGCUGAGGUGCGAAAGCGUGGGGAGCAAACAGG